CCCACCUGAUACCUGUAGGCGAAAAAAAGAGUUAUCCCUUAGGCCGCCACAGGAGGCAAAAGCAAGUGGAAGCCAUGGCGACGGCGGAGGUGGGAGGCGAUGGCUUCGAGUUUCUGUCAGAUCCCGUUGACAGAUAUCCCUUCAUUUCAAAAUAGAUGACCCAAAGUGGAACGGAGGGAGUAACUUCCUUAUCUCCCACUCGUGGUGCGUACUGCUGGCCGUUGUGAUUCGACGCGCAACCUUAGUACUCGACUCCCUUCUUUUGGCAUAGGUCCCUCCGCCGGAUCUUGGCGGCGGCGAGUCUAUACUUGACGCUGAACCCCCCCAAACUCUGAUCUGCACAUCCGCCCAGUCCAGCACUGGUGAUGUGGGUGAUGCUGCCCUGCAGUACAAUUAGAUUUGAACAGCAGUUGUGAGGGACUUAGCUUGUCAGCGCCCAACUCAGAGCAGUCAACUGGCAAGGACGAUCCUCAGGCCCCGGGCUGGACAAAGAGGGUCCGUGUUGGGCAUGCACCUCUUGAACGUCCACCCUGUGUUGGCAAGAUAAGUGCCCUGGAGAAAACAUUGAGAUGAAGACUGAAACUGUCGUGAUUCCUGCAGUCGGAGACAACUUUGAUCCCCUUUGCCACCGUGCAGGAUGUACCGUCUCCCCUUUGCCGACGUGUGCAAACGGCGUUGCCGUGGCACUCGAAAAAGAAAACAGGCAAAAAUUAACCACCCUCCUCCAGUGGAUGCGGUUCUCGAAGACGCCAUUCAUUCAGCUGCUUUGCGCUGCACGGCGGGGAGGCCACGGCGGCGGCGGGGGAUGGAUUUGAGUUCCUCUCAGAUCAGGUUCCUGCUGCCGGCAAUUGGCGGCGACAAGUACACGCAAGCGGCGCAUACGGUGCUAGAUCUGCUGGAUGGAGCAGCCGAGUCCAGCACUAGGGAGGUGGGGAAGCGCCGCCUGUUCUCAGAGCAGUCAACGGGGCUCGACGACCUGCAGGCCCUGGCUGGACAAAAGGCUGCACUAGUGAUGCGGGCGAACACCCCACUGGAAAUGCACGCUAGCAAUACCUACACCAGGCUAUGUUCGAGAAAUUUGGUGUAGUCUUGUACGAUGCCGGACAGUACAAGGUGGAGGAGGUUGAGAAAGGCACGAGGUUCUUGGUGCACCGGUACCACCCUAAGAAGCAUGACAAAUAGUGCAAAGUUGUCUAUGAAGUGGGGGUUCUUGUAAAUGGGGCAGAGAUUGCAUGUGAGUGCGGUAAUUUUGAACACACUGGUGCUCUGCUACCAUGCGGUUAAGGUACUUGAUUUCCCAGGCUUAACCGAAGUAUCAAAGAAGAACAUUCUAAAGAGGUGGACCAGGGAUGCAAGAGAUGUGCUGCCAGAUCACACACACACACGCUAACACUAUUGAGGUGUACGACUUGGAGAUGCAAACACAACAGCAUACAAGGCGACAAUGGAGCUCCUCAAGGCAGUAGUUCAGAAGCUAAUGCCUAUAGCGGUUGUGCGUGACGGUAUGGGGAUAUAAUACAGGAUUCAAGAUGUGAAAGGCAAGGGUAUAGAAAUGAGUAAUGGGCAUGCACCGGCCUGUAGGUAUAGAAGCGAUGCUGAAGGGAGUGGAGUGGGCAAUUUGAUAGGAUUAUCAGGUCCAGAACGUAAACGGAAGGCAGGUUGUCCCACAAACAGCAGGGUUUGCCUCCAUAUGAUGAUCGCGGUGAGCAAUCGAAGAAGUGCAAUGCUGUGGCAAAAGCGACAGGCACAGCUAAGUGUGGCAUGAGCAAGUGUACGUGGUUCUGCAGUCUAUGUCGACAACCAGGUCACAAGAGUACAACUGUACAACUUGUCCUCAGAGGGGUGACCCCCCUGUGAGACCAAGGAAGGAAUCCUAAUGUUCAAACUGUAGCGUCAGCCGCCAUCGGAAGAACACGUGCAGCUAUCCGAAGUACUGCAUGUUGUAGCUAAAUGGCAACGUGGAUGGUCUCUUCCUGCACGCUUAGGCUUCUCCAUCGUUGGGUCCAAUGUUCUCAGUGUAUGAACUUCAUUUUUUUCCUACAGGUGUGAGGGCUUAGCAGUGUAUGCAGAAAUCGAAUGAUGUUGUCUAGUGUAACAACUGUGUCUGUGGGUGUAACAGAACCAUGUUGUUGUCUUUGGUUGAUCUGUAUGUGUGUAACCCCAUUAAGACAAUGUUUUCCUGUGAGUCUGAACAUUUACAUUUUUCAGA